rnacentral:rRNA from 1 species
AUGUCCUCCGCCUGCGACGACGACCACGCCUCGCUCCUCAGAUCCCACCCGGCCGCCGUCGCCGGAGGGGCGGGCGCCACCUCGUCGUCGUCGCUGUCGUGCCCCUCGCCGCGCGCGGCCGCCGGCCACCGCCACGUCGACGUCGAGGCGGCCGACGGGACCGCCUCCCCGAGGCGCCCCGGGGGCGUGCGCGGCCUCCUGCGCCACCUCGACCGCCGCGUCCAUGCCCGCGGAUCUGCGCGCCGGCAGCAGCAGCAGCUCGAUCGCCUCCCCGAGCAGCCGUCUGCCGCGCCGUCGCAGCCGCAGAGGGAGAGGGCGGGGGAGGAGCUCGGGGACGGGGCGCCCCCCGAGUGGGCGCUGCUGCUCAUUGGCUGCCUCCUCGGGCUCGCCACCGGCAUCUGCGUCGCCGCGUUCAACCGCGGGGUUCAUGUCAUCCAUGAUUGGGCGUGGGCAGGUACUCCCAACGAAGGUGCAGCUUGGCUCCGUCUACAGAGGUUAUCUGAUACUUGGCACAGAAUACUGCUGAUCCCUGUGUCAGGAGGUGUAAUCGUAGGAAUGAUGCACGGGUUACUUGAGAUUUUUGAGCAGCUCAAACUUGCGAAACAACCGCAGAACCAAGGAAUCAGUUUACUUGCAGCAAUCUUUCCAACUGUAAAGGCUGUACAGGCUGCCGUGACUCUGGGGACCGGUUGCUCAUUGGGGCCUGAAGGUCCUAGUGUGGAUAUUGGUAAAUCAUGUGCACUCGGGUGCUCAGAAAUGAUGGAGAACAAUCGCGAAAGACGGAUCGCUCUUGUGGCUGCUGGGGCUGCUGCUGGAAUUGCUUCAGGCUUUAAUGCAGCAGUUGCUGGGUGUUUCUUUGCCAUUGAGACUGUAUUGCGGCCCCUAAAAGCAGAAAAUGCACCUCCUUUUACAACUGCUAUGAUAAUAUUGGCAUCAGUUAUAUCAUCUACUGUAUCAAACGUUUUACUUGGAGAAAGACCAGCGUUUACAGUGCCGGCAUAUGAGCUGAAAUCUGCUGCUGAGCUACCUCUAUACCUCAUCUUAGGAAUGCUUUGUGGGGCAGUCAGUGUGGUAUUUGGACGGUUGGUAGUAUGGUUUUCAAGAUUUUUUGCGUACAUGAAAGAAAGGUUUGAUUUUCCCAUUGUAGUGUACCCUGCUUUAGGUGGGCUUGGAGCUGGCCUCAUAGCCCUCAAAUAUCCAGGGAUUUUAUACUGGGGUUUCACAAAUGUUGAAGAAAUAUUGCAUACUGGGAAGAGUGCUUCUGCUCCUGGUAUCUGGUUGUUAACUCAACUUGCAGCUGCGAAGGUAGUUGCGACCGCCCUUUGCAAGGGCUCUGGUCUUGUGGGUGGGCUAUAUGCUCCAAGCUUGAUGAUCGGGGCUGCUGUUGGAGCUACUUUUGGAGGGUCAGCUGCAUACUUAAUAAAUGCAGCUAUACCUGGUAGUGCUGCUGUUGCACAGCCACAAGCUUAUGCUCUUGUUGGGAUGGCUGCGACAUUGGCUUCAGUCUGCUCAGUCCCGUUGACUUCCGUAUUGCUUCUCUUUGAGCUGACAAAGGAUUACAGGAUUUUGCUACCUCUGAUGGGAGCGGUUGGACUGGCAAUAUGGGUUCCUUCUGUGGUAAACCAACCAAAUGAUGGUGAAUCUUCAGGGUUUAGAGCACCCACGCGUGGUUAUUCUUUAGUUUCACUACAAGAUAAAAAUAGUAGUGUCUGGACGCGAAGUGAUUCCGUAGAUGAUCUUGAGCUUACUAUCUCACAAAGUGGCCUUCGUAACUAUGGUACCUACCAAGAGGAAGUGCUUCUAGAUGAUUUGAAGGUCUCCCAGGCCAUGUCAAAGAGAUAUGUUAAAGUUCCACCAUCUGCCACAGUGACAGAAACUCUCGCUUUAUUGAGUGAUAAGCAGCAAAUGUGCGCCCUUGUUGUGGAUCAUGAAGAUUUUCUUGAGGGGCUUAUUACAUUAGGGGAUAUUAGCCGUAUGGGCUUUGAACUGGACGGGGAAAGUUACUUAAGUGGAGACCAGCUCAACUCUGAUGAAGCCUGUUCAACCAUCUCGUCGUGUCUCACUCGAGGGUUCCAGUACCAGGGGAGUGAGUGCGGACUGCUAACAUGCUUUCCAGAUACCGAUUUGACCACUGCCAAAAACCUUAUGGAGGCCAGAGGGAUAAAGCAGCUGCCUGUCGUUAAGCGUGGCGUCGGGCAUAAAACCGAAAGAAGGCGCAAGCUUGUUGCCCUUCUCUAUUAUGAUUCUAUCGGCCACUGCUUACGGGAGGAGAUUAAGAACUGGAAAGCUAUAUACCAAAGAAAAGAAGAUUUCCACAUUUUAGCUACUGGUCACACAUUACAGUGA